rnacentral:rRNA from 1 species
GACGAACGCUGGCGGCGUGCUUAACACAUGCAAGUCGAACGAAGUGGCGAACGGGUGAGUAACGCGUAAUCAACCUGCCCUUCAGAGGGGGACAACAGUUGUAAACGACUGCUAAUACCGCAUACUGACGUAGGGGGUGGCGUGUGAUUAGGUAGUUGGAGGGGUAACGCCCCACCAAGGCGAUGAUCAGUGGCCGGUCUGAGAGGGUGAAGGGCCACCUUUGAACUUGGAAACGGACCAGACUCCGCCGGGAGGCAGCAGUGGGGAAUCUUCCGCAAUGGACGAAAGUCGGACGGAGCAACGCCGCGUGAGUGGUGACGGCCUUCGGGUUGUAAAGCUCCGUUGAUCGGGACGCGGUACCGGAAUAGAAAGCCACGGCUAACUACGUGCCAGCAGCCGCGGUAAUAC